rnacentral:rRNA from 1 species
CACGUAGUUAGCCGUGGCUUCCUCCUCAGGUACCGUCAUUAUCGUCCCUGAAGACAGAGCUUUACAACCCGAAGGCCGUCAUCACUCACGCGGCGUUGCUGCAUCAGGGUUUCCCCCAUUGCGCAAUAUUCCCCACUGCUGCCUCCCGUAGGAGUCUGGGCCGUGUCUCAGUCCCAAUGUGGCCGAUCACCCUCUCAGGUCGGCUACGCAUCGUCGCCUUGGUGAGCCGUUACCUCACCAACUAGCUAAUGCGCCGCGGGCCCAUCUCAUAGCGGAUUACUCCUUUAAUUGCUACUUCAUGCGAAGCUACAAUCUUAUGCGGUAUUAAUCUCCCUUUCGGAAGGCUAUUCCCCUCUAUGAGGUAGGUUGCCCAGUGUUACUCACCCGUUCGCCGCUAGCUUUUGUUCCGAAGAACUCCACUCGCUCGACUUGCAUGUGUUAGGCACGCCGCCAGCGUUCGUCCUGAGCCUACGGGAUCAAAACUCU